AACGAACGCUGGCGGCAUGCCUAACACAUGCAAGUCGAACGAGACCUUCGGGUCUAGUGGCGCACGGGUGCGUACCGCGUGGGAACCUGCCCUUAGGUUCGGAAUAACUCCCCGAAAGGGGUGCUCAUACCGGAUAAUGUCUUCGGGCCAAAGAUUUAUCGCCUUUGGAUGGGCGCGGGUUGGUUUCGCUAGUUGGUAGGGUAAAAGCCUACCAAGGCGACGAUCCAUAGCUGGUCGGUGAGGAUGGUCAGCCACGCUGGGACUGAGACACGGCCCAGACUCCUACGGGAGGCAGCAGUGGGGAAUAUUGGACAAUGAGCGAAAGCCUGAUCCAGCAAUGCCGCGUGAGUGAUGAAGGCCUUAGGGUUGUAAAGCUCUUUUACCCGGGAUGAUAAUGACAGUACCGGGAGAAGAAGCACCGGCUAACUCCGUG
rnacentral:rRNA from 1 species